UUGAAGAGUUUGAUCAUGGCUCAGAUUGAACGCUGGCGGCAGGCCUAACACAUGCAAGUCGAGCGGUAGCACAGAGAGCUUGCUCUCGGGUGACGAGCGGCGGACGGGUGAGUAAUGUCUGGGAAACUGCCUGAUGGAGGGGGAUAACUACUGGAAACGGUAGCUAAUACCGCAUAAUGUCGCAAGACCAAAGUGGGGGACCUUCGGGCCUCAUGCCAUCAGAUGUGCCCAGAUGGGAUUAGCUAGUAGGUGGGGUAACGGCUCACCUAGGCGACGAUCCCUAGCUGGUCUGAGAGGAUGACCAGCCACACUGGAACUGAGACACGGUCCAGACUCCUACGGGAGGCAGCAGUGGGAAUAUUGCACAAUGGGCGCAAGCCUGAUGCAGCCAUGCCGCGUGUGUGAAGAAGGCCUUCGGGUUGUAAAGCACUUUCAGCGGGGAGGAAGGCGGUGAGGUUAAUAACCUCAUCGAUUGACGUUACCCGCAGAAGAAGCACCGGCUAACUCCGUGCCAGCAGCCGCGGUAAUACGGAGGGUGCAAGCGUUAAUCGGAAUUACUGGGCGUAAAGCGCACGCAGGCGGUCUGUCAAGUCGGAUGUGAAAUCCCCGGGCUUAACCUGGGAACUGCAUUCGAAACUGGCAGGCUAGAGUCUUGUAGAGGGGGGUAGAAUUCCAGGUGUAGCGGUGAAAUGCGUAGAGAUCUGGAGGAAUACCGGUGGCGAAGGCGGCCCCCUGGACAAAGACUGACGCUCAGGUGCGAAAGCGUGGGGAGCAAACAGGAUUAGAUACCCCCUGGUAGUCCACGCCGUAAACGAUGUCGAUUUGGAGGUUGUGCCCUUGAGGCGUGGCUUCCGGAGCUAACGCGUUAAAUCGACCGCCUGGGGAGUACGGCCGCAAGGUUAAAACUCAAAUGAAUUGACGGGGGCCCGCACAAGCGGUGGAGCAUGUGGUUUAAUUCGAUGCAACGCGAAGAACCUUACCUGGUCUUGACAUCCACAGAACUUUCCAGAGAUGGAUUGGUGCCUUCGGGAACUGUGAGACAGGUGCUGCAUGGCUGUCGUCAGCUCGUGUUGUGAAAUGUUGGGUUAAGUCCCGCAACGAGCGCAACCCUUAUCCUUUGUUGCCAGCGGUCCGGCCGGGAACUCAAAGGAGACUGCCAGUGAUAAACUGGAGGAAGGUGGGGAUGACGUCAAGUCAUCAUGGCCCUUACGACCAGGGCUACACACGUGCUACAAUGGCAUAUACAAAGAGAAGCGACCUCGCGAGAGCAAGCGGACCUCAUAAAGUAUGUCGUAGUCCGGAUUGGAGUCUGCAACUCGACUCCAUGAAGUCGGAAUCGCUAGUAAUCGUAGAUCAGAAUGCUACGGUGAAUACGUUCCCGGGCCUUGUACACACCGCCCGUCACACCAUGGGAGUGGGUUGCAAAAGAAGUAGGUAGCUUAACCUUCGGGAGGGCGCUUACCACUUUGUGAUUCAUGACUGGGGUGAAGUCGUAACAAGGUAACCGUAGGGGAACCUGCGGUUGGAUCACCUCCUU
rnacentral:rRNA from 1 species